rnacentral:rRNA from 1 species
ACGUAUGGUGCAAGCGUUAUCCGGAUUUACUGGGUGUAAAGGGAGCGUAGACGGAGAGGCAAGUCUGGAGUGAAAACCCAGGGCUCAACCCUGGGACUGCUUUGGAAACUGCAAUUCUGGAGUGCCGGAGAGGUAAGCGGAAUUCCUAGUGUAGCGGUGAAAUGCGUAGAUAUUAGGAGGAACACCAGUGGCGAAGGCGGCUUACUGGACGGUGACUGACGUUGAGGCUCGAAAGCGUGGGGAGCAAACAG